CCAUAUCUAUGUUUUUUUCUAACUUGACAUCGCUGUUAGUCGUGUCCACACACUUAAAUACGACAUAAAACGUCAAGACACUUUUUUUUUAAUUAUCUGAAUACUUGAUAGACAAUAGUUACAAAUAAAUUAUAUAUUUAAUUCACCUAGAUGAAAAUUUCUAGAUGACUCCCAACAUUGUGCAUAACAUCAUAUCUGAGUAAUUCGAGAGGUCAUUGAUCGAGUUCAACGUUCCAAAGCUACGAUGUUUCAAGGUCCAGACUUUAACAGUAGAAGGAGUAGCAUCUCUCUACAUAAACACUGAAAACGAACAGUUCUUUAUCAAACAGUGCAUUACAUAUAUGGAUGUUCCUACAAAUUAGUAUUAAUAUUCAAUAUAUAUAACAAAACAAGUUUCGUGUUGUCUGCCGUUAAACCAACAGUUCAGCCCAGCUUAACCAUGAAGUUUUUGAUCCAUGUUUUGCCCAUUUUAACUUUAGUAUUAGCUGACCAUUCGCUAGACAAUUUCAUCAAAAGCAACGACCUUUUCACUUCGUCUAUCUACAAAAAAAUUUCUAAAAACGAAAACUACGCAGACAAAAACUUACUCGUUAGUCCAUUUUCGGCCUAAAUAGUUUUGUCGUUGCCACAAACAGGCACCAAAGGAGCAACAGCGCAAGAAAUCGACGCCCUUCUACAUCUACCCGACAACAUUUUCAAAACAGUCCUCACAAAAUUAAAAAAUAACGAAACCUACACUCUACAAAUCGCCAAUAAACUCUACAUAAACAAGAAAAACAUUGUCGUCAAAGACGAAUUGAAAAACCUAGUAUAUUUUUCCGACGUCGAAACUAUCGACUUUGCAGGAAAUGUAGACGCAGCAGAGACCAUCAAUCGAUGGGUGGAGGCCCAAACUAGAAACAGAAUUCGCGAUUUAGUCAAACCCGAUGACUUAAGCAAACGUACUAGACUGGUUUCAAUUAACGCCUUUUAUUUCAAGGACUCGUGGGCGCGACCCUUUUUCACCGACCUUACGACAAAAAUGGACUUCUAUGUGACGUCGAAAGAUAUCCAUAAGGUCGAAACGAUGCGUAGUCGCUAUGGAGAUGAUUUCAUGUUUUACGAAUGCCCCCAUUUGAAGGCUAAGUUUUUGGAAUUGUUUUUUGGAGGAGAGGCUUCUAUGGUUUUAGUUCUGCCAACGAUAAAGAGGGGUUGGGGCCGCUUGAAAGCCAGAUCGACAGGGUUUUAGCUCCUCAUAAUUUAACAUACGAAACUGUCUUAGUUGCCGUUCCUAAAUUCAAAAUCGAAAGUAGGAUUGAUUUUGUGGAACUAUUAAAACAAAUGGGUGUGCACAAAGCGUUUAAUGAGGGUGAAGCUGACUUUAGUGGAAUUACGGGUGUCAAGGGCGAUUUGAUAAUGGACAAGAUCGUGCAGAAAGGUUUUAUCGAUGUCAACGAAGGUGGAGUUGAGGCCGCAGCGUCCACUUUUAUCAGUUGUCCCAUUCCCCCCAGUGCCAUUCCAGAACCGAAAGAAUUCAAGGCUGAUCAUCCCUUUAUGUAUUACAUCAGAGUUAAGGUGGUCGUUGUCUUUGUGGGGAGGGUACUAAGGCCAAAACUGUAAAUCUGAAAUAUCGUAAAACUUUCUGUGUGUUCUUUCUUUAAAUAAAAGAAGUUAGGGGACAGUCAAA